AGAUAGCAGAAAGAAAGAGAGAGAGAAAAAAAAGAAGGGGAAAACUUGUUGUUGCUGAGAAGGAAAGAAGCAAAACAGCAAAUUACUAUUCAACCCUAAAGCCAAAAGCCUGUUCCACUGCUCAAGAAUCAUCAUCAUCAUCCUUAUCAAUUGCUUCUGCAGCAAUUUCAUUUCUGGUACUUUUUUGGGUGUUCAUUUUUUAUUGGAAAAAAUGGUUGCUUAGGGUUUACUUCUAUUUUGAUCCACAACAAACUCAGCUGCAUUUUUAGGAAAAAUGCUUUCUUGGGUUUACUUUUGUUUUAUUUCACAACCCAUCUUUUCAUUUUGCUGAUCUGUACAAUUUCUUGCAGAUCCAGCUUUGGGUUUCUGCUGAUUCUUGAUCUUUUCUUCUUUCAAGCUCAGAUUUUUCCUUCUUUCAAGCUCAGAUUUUUCUUCAAGUUUCAAGCUUAUGGUGUCAAGCUAAGCUUUUGGAGUAGCGGGGUUUGAGUGGUUUCUUCUAUUUAUGCUAAUUCCAGUUUUGAUGAGGUUAUAAGCUCAAGGGGAACAGUUAUUUGACUUGCUUUUGUGUAAUUAGUGAUUGGGUUAGGUUUCUUGAGGAUACUGGUUGGUAAUUGUGCAUUUUUGGGCGAAUUCCU
rnacentral:lncRNA from 1 species